rnacentral:tRNA from 1 species
GGUACUAUAGUUCAUCGGUAAGAAUAUUCCCCUGUCACGGGAAAGAGCCGGGUUCGAUUCCCGGUAGUACCGCCA